UGAAAAACGGUAUUGCAUUUGGUAAGUGGUCGAUCUGAGAACAAUGAGACGGGGGCGCGCAUGCAAAAGAUGACUCCAUUUUCAACUUUGAGUCUUUGAACGAAAACAUGGUUUCCCGGUCGGAAUAGUAUCGCUAUUUUACGAGAAAAAUCGCAUAAAAAUUUAUUUUAAACAGAGUUUGACAUGCUUCGAAGUACGGUAAUGGAAUAUUUUGAAAAUUUUUGUCACGAUACGCGUCCGCGCGUCACCAUUCGGAUAGUGUCUUGAACGCAAGAACAAAACAGAGGAUAUUUGAACAUAACUAUGGAUUAUUUUGAACCAAAACAACAUUUGUGGAUGAAGUAGAAGUCCUGGGAGUGCAUUCUGACGAAGAACAGCAAAGGUGACAUAAACUGAGACAACCACCUGACCAAGUCCUAAAGCAAUGGGACUCGAUUAUUACCAAUCCCACAAGGUAUGACUCCAACCACCCAGAAAAGGCUACGCUCCUUGAUGUUGUCCUCACAAAUAAUCCUGAAAGGAAUGAUCAAGCAGGGAGGCAAAGGUGGUCCAAACAUAGGGGUCCAUCAUCCAACUCAGCUGACUCCGUGGCUGUGAAGAUGAGUCAUGAUGACUGCUCAUGGAAAG
rnacentral:lncRNA from 1 species